GAAAAAAAAUUAUAUCAAUUUCUUAAUUGUCCUGUAUUUCAAAUCACUUUUUGGUUCGGAAAAAUGUACUUUUUAAUUAUGCAAUAGAAAUAUGUGUGUUGGUAUAUUGCCUAAUUGUUUAUCAAUUUGUGUCCUUCUUUUAGAUCGCACAAGAUUUUUCGAUCCUCUAUGGAGAGGCUGCACCUAAACUUUUUAAGACAUGGGUUGCUCUUUACUCUGAUAAGAUCAUUCGUCUUGCAAAAUGCGAAGGAAAACUAUCGGUGCCAGAGGAACAGAUCACCCAUGAUUCCAGGGGAGAAGUCGCCCUGAUGCUGCUGCCCAUCCUGCUUCCUCCGCCUGUCUAUAAAAAGGGCAGGAAAUUGGUUCGGGCGAGCAUACAGGAGUCAAAGAGGGCCUUUAUUGAUGUGAAGCCUGUUGGAACUAACAUGGUGGAGUAUUUGGAGCAGGCCGAAUCGCUCAGGGCCUAUCCAUAUGUGCUCCUGCUUAGUGAUGGCAUUUUGUGUUCCCAGGCAUUUGCCAUCAUAUCGGGCAAAGCCAUUCCCUCAGAUACAGCACUUGCUGCUGUCGACACUUGUUUCAAGAGCUUUUAUAUAUUAGAUUGUAAUUAUCCGAAUGAGUGUGCGCCUACUUGGCAAUUUUUACAGAGUACAGUUUUUGAACUUGAGGGAACUGUGUCCCCAUCUGUCACUUUCUUAAAAACCCAAUUGCUUUCCUGUCAUUAGACUGCACCCGCCCUUUUUUCGCUCCUCUCCCUCUUGUUCUUCACCAUCCCCUGUUCUUAAUGUUAUUUUUGUGUAAAUAAUU